UGAUUUUUGGCGAUUAUUUAAAGUGGAUGACGCAAUGCUGCGUCAUCCCCGGUAUUACCGACAGUAAACGGAUGACGCAAUGCUGCGUCAUGCCCGGGCGAAAGUGUUAAGAAUUCAUAGUUUUUUUUGUCUCUAAAUUUUAAAAUGUCACAAUCUAAAAUGUAUUUUAUUAAUACUGUGUAUAUGUGUGUAUGUAUAAUAUAUAUGUAUGUUUAACCUCUAUUACAUUAUGGAUAUAGUAUGAUCUAUUUCUUUUAAUACUGUUUAGAUAAGGUAGUAUGAUGUGGCUGUCUUUCAAAGACAUACAGAAGUAUGGUGUGGCUGUCUUUAAUGCAAGAGCAAUAGUUUUGCGGUGUUGUGUGAAGGAUAUCAUGCAUGAGAUAUAGUGUUGUGUGAAGGAUAUCAAGAACUUUUAUUUUAGAGUUUACAUACUUGGGCAGCUAUGCUUAAUAACAGAAAAUCUGUGGGAGGAGAUACAGUAUUAGCAUUUUUAUACCAGUAUUAUAGUCUGUAGGUUGAAGAAGUGUACAGAUUAUAGCUACUAUUUUCAGAGGCUGAAAAUGUUGUGUUGUUGAGAUUUAUAUUGUUUGACAUGCGUCUUAUUUUUAAGCCGUCAUUCAAGCUGUUUAGGGAUAUGUCCUCAAAUUUAAAUUACUUUCCCUACAGGUCCGCACUGGGGGUAGGUUAGGUCCUCACUGUGGGGGGGUAGGUCCACACUGUGGGGGAAACCCAGCUCUGAAAUGGCUCUUAUUAACUAGAGCAACCUUUGAAUAUUUAAAUAUUACAGAGUAACAGGAGUAUGUUUACCUUAAUUUGAGAACCCUUGGAUUAGGGAAAUUUGAUCUUACAACCCUCGAAGAGAGAAGGGACGGAGCUAGCUCCUCACUCCACCGUAGUCACUCAUGUAUAAACACUUACCGUGCCCUGAACUUGGAGAGACAUCUGUAAUAAUAAAACAUCCAACACAU